rnacentral:lncRNA from 1 species
AACAAAAUUUGGUCUCAGUGAAACCAUAUUUCAAAUGCAGGAACUUCGGUCUCAGUGAAACAGGUAUCAUGUGUCACAUCUACACAGCAUAAUGUGUGGUGUAAAUCACAGUGUCACAGAUACACAUCAUAAUGUGUGGUAUAAAUCACAGGUACACAGCAUAAUGAAGUUUUACAAAGUUUAGCCAACAGAAACACAGCAACUGCUGGGUUUUCCUGAAACAGGUAUCAUGUGUCACACAUACUGCAACAAGUUGAAAUAACAAGAUAAAAAAGAACGCUAAUGUGCAAAACUCAAAACAAGUUGAAUUUUGUCGACACGCUGCUCGGAACAGUUAUUUUUCUGAGAAGCUGAACUAGGCAGACCGAAGUGAUUUGGGUUUUCAAGUACUAGCAAUUAAUUAACUAAAAAAUUACUGCACCAGAUCACCUUCUAUGAAUAACUACUCCAUUAGCAGGAACAAGCUAAUCCAAAAUUAAUAGUGCUCUGAAUACUGUAAUUAACAGGACAUCUUCUAUGAAUGACAGUACACCGAUCAGUUACUCCAUUUUAACAGUACUAAUCCAUUUGCUCAAUGGGAGUGUUGUACCCAGACAAUGUUGUUGAUUUGCUCAAUGGGAGUGUUGUUCUCUGCACAUAUUUUUUUCCUAUUUCUUCAAUCUUCUUUUAUUCUUCUCAAGAUAUCUUAUGUCCUAAGGUUAAUUUGCAGCAGGAGUAAGAAGCAGGAGUAAGAUGGAGAACAUGGUCGUGCCGGACCUCAACCGCACUCCACCUGCAGAUGAAAUGGAUGAAGAUCGAGUAUUUGAAAUGGAUGAAGAUGCAGUACUUCAAAUGGAUGAAGAUGGAGGUACAAUUACAGUAGCAUUUCAGACUACUUUCAGUUAACUGUAGCAUUUAUGACUAUUUUUCCUUUGUUGUAUUCCUUCGUGCAGGUGUUGAGCAAGCAGUUCGGAAAAGGGACAGCCUUGAUGACAAGCAGAAGUAUGCUGCUUAUGUUGCAUUGCAUACAUUAUGUAUGAGUAGAGGAGGCAAAUUUAACAGAGAUGAUAAGAAAAAAGUGGCCGACUUUUUUGGAGUAGGUGUUUGGAAUAUUCAAAGAGUUUGGAAGAAAGCGAUGAGGCAAAUUGCACAAGGUUUGGAGGUUGACGUUUCCAGUCAGAGAAAAGGAAACUGUGGAAGAAAGGCAAAGGACAUCAACCUAGACCAAAUCCCUACAAUCCCUCUAAACAAAAGGUCUACCAUCCGAUCACUUGCUUGGCAACUCGGAUGCAGCCCCACCACACUCCACAGGAAGUUCAUGUUGAAGUUGAUAAAGAGACAUUCAAAUUGUGUGAAACCAAUUUUGAAGGAAAAGAAUAUGAAGGAUAGAAUGAAAUUUUGCUUGUCAAUGCUCGAUGAGACAACAAUAGAAACUAGAAGGCCUAAAUUCAAGACCAUGCACAACGUUGUGCAUAUUGACGAGAAAUGGUUCUAUAUGACAAAAAAAACAGGAACUAUUAUCUGCUCGAUGAGGAGGAAGAGCCUACAAGAACUAUACAAAGCGGCGCUAGUAUUGGAAAGGUCAUGUUCUUGACUGUCGUUGCUAGGCCAAAGUGGGAUAGUGAAGGAAAUGUGACCUUCUCUAGGAAAAUUGGAAUUUGGCCAUCUGUGAAAGAAGUUCCUGCUCAAAGAAAAAGCGACAAUAGGCCUAGAGGAACAAUGGAGACGAAGUCCAUAAAAGUUAGCAGGCAAGUGAUGAGAGAGUUCAUGAUAGAUAAUCUACUGCCAGCAAUACAAUCAUCUUGGCCUGAGAAUGAUGCUGGGCAAACCAUCUUCAUACAACAGGACAACGCAAAGCCUCAUAUCUUACCCAAUGACCCAUAAUUUUUAGCAGCGGUCGAAAGCACAGGACUAGACAUCAGACUAAUUCAGCAGCCCGCCAAUAGCCCUGAUUUGAAUGGGCUUGACCUUGGAUUUUUCAGUUCGUUGCAAUCGAUGACAGAUUGUCUAAGCCCAAGAACCCUUCAAGACCUUAUUAAGGGUGUGUUGGAAGAAAUUGAAAACUAUGAGGUUUACAAGCUGAACAGAGUUUUCUUAUCCCUACAGGCUUGCAUGAUAGAAAUUUUGAACCAUGUAGGGGGCAAUGGCUAUAAAAAUACCUCAUGUGAACAAGGAAAGGCUCGAGUCUCUUGGGUUGCUACCGCUAAGACGUACAUGCCCUCAAGAGGUUUACGCAAAUGCCUUACACAACCUACAACUAAUGGAUGCUUGUUGUUGCUGAGAUGAGGUUUGUCGUCGAGAUGUUAGAGAUGCUAGAGAUGCUUGAGAUGCUAGAGAUGCUAGAGAUGCUAGAGAUGCUUGUUGCUGAGAUGAGGCUUGUUGUUGCUGAGAUGAGGCUUGUUGCUGAGAUGAGGCUUGUUGUUGCGAUUAGGUUUGUCGUCGAGAUGCUAGAGAUGCUCGAGAUGCUUGAGAUGCUAGAGAUGCUAGAGAUGCUUGUUGCUGAGAUGAGGCUUGUUGUUGCAAUGAGGUUUGUCGUCGAGAUGCUAGAGAUGCUUGAGAUGCUUGAGAUGAGGCUUGUUGUCGAGAUGCUAGAGAUGCUUGUUGCUGAGAUGAUGCUUGUUGUUGCGAUGAGGUUUGUCGUCGAGAUGCUAGAGAUGCAUGCUGUUGAGAUGAGGCUUGUGUGGAGUAUGUGUAACUCCUUGUUUGUAUGGAGUAUGUUUGUGUGGAGUAUGUGUAAACCCUAGAGAUGAGGCUUGUUGAUAUGUUGAUAUGCUUGUGGGGAGUAAAUGAUAUGCAUAUCAUCCUGAAAAUGUUUCUAGGAUUUGAAUUUAAGUUGCUGCAAAGUUUUUUGAAUUUUCUGAUUUUUUUGAAAAGUUUUCAUUUAUAUUAACACAAAAGUUUUCAUUUAGAUUAACACAAAAGUUUUCAUUGAUGGAAGAUGCUUGAGAUGCUUGACAAGAGAAGAGAAAAGAAGAAAGAAGAGAAAAUAGUGUCCAGUUAAGGAGAAGUUUCACUUAAAUUCAGUUAAAUUCAGUUGGAGUAAGAGGGGAGAAGACGGAAGAAAGAGAAGAGAAGAGAAAGAGAAGAGGGAAGAAGAGAACAAGAAUAUGGAGGGCAGAAGAGGAGUAGACUAGAGUAGUUCUCCUCUUCUUGCAAGUCCAAACUGAUUUAUUGAGAGUUGAAAAAAUACUUCGAGCAACCAUCAUUGUGAUUAUACUAUAGUGAAAUAAUCAAAUCAGUAGGGUUGUACAGGCUGAGCCUGUUUGACGGGACGAGUGCGCUGUUACUAGCACCAUUGGCAGGAGAGUUUUGCUGCAGGUACAGUACUAGUCCUGAAGCUAACUAUAACUGGAAAACCCCACUGAAAUCGAUCAAUUUAGCCUUAUUUUAACUAGGGGAGCAUGGUGACUCUUUAGGAGAAUGCAAAUGCUUAUAAUUAUCCUCCAGUAUGAUUCGUUUUGAUGUGCCAUUGGUUUCACACACAUGCUUGGUCUAUGGGUUCAGAUUUUAAUUUUAGAUGCUUCACAAUAUAUAACCAGCGAAAAUUGAUUUAAUAAUUGGUUUACUGUUGAUUGCAAGAGUUCCAUUAUCUCUGCAGAAACCCUCCGUUACUCACUCAUGUUGAUCCGGACGCCCCUCUUGGGAGAAAAGCACCAGACAUUGGCAACAGGCAAGUAAGCUUCCCUUGAUCAGUAGUGUCGUAAAACUGGAUCAAGAAGCAUUGCAAGCAAGGUACUCCUACUCCUAAGUGUACUCCCAUAAUACUUGUACUCCCGAUCAAAUUGAUCCCAAGGUACUCCUACACCUAACACAAAUGCAAAAUCUGUAAUGGAAAUAUGGUGCUCCCAAACCCCACUAGCAUAAUCUGAAUGUGUAUGUUCACAAUCUGUAAUAUGGUGCUCCUAGUUCAGCUUCAUGGAAAGAUUUUGCUAUCCCAAGGAUAAUAACUGUAGGAGCACCAUAAUUAACUUCGGUCUGCCUAGUUCAGCUUCACAGAAAGAUAAUAUCCCAAGGAUCAAAAUCUGUAUGUUCAGAAUCACAUUCAGGUCACUCUUACUCCUUUACUCCUCUACUGAAUUUACCACUUUUACUCCUUUAUUCCUCUACUCCAUCAUCAUGUUCAGAAUCCCACUAGCAUAAUCUGAACUAAGCAUGUCUUACUGGAAAUAUGCGAGGAAGAAGCAAGAAAAACAAAGCUGGAGUACUCACAGUGCCGUCGUCCGGGAGGAGCUUCGGUGUUGUCCCCGUGUGCUGGUCAUCUUAUCGUCCCAGCGGUGUUCCGGCUGCUCCUCGC